UACGUAGGUGGCGAGCGUUGUCCGGAAUUACUGGGCGUAAAGGGCGCGCAGGCGGUUCUUUAAGUCAGUUGUGAAAUAUCCGGGCUUAACCUGGGGGGUGCGACUGAUACUGGGGGACUUGAGUGCAGGAGAGGGCAGUGGAAUUCCUAGUGUAGCGGUGAAAUGCGUAGAUAUUAGGAGGAACACCAGUGGCGAAGGCGGCUGCCUGGCCUGUAACUGACGCUGAGGCGCGAAAGCGUGGGGAGCAAACAGG
rnacentral:rRNA from 1 species